CCGCAGCCACACCUUUUAUUACAUUAUAUUAAAAAUAACAGAAAAACUGAUUCUAGGACAUGACUUAGUAAACACUUAUAGCAAUUUUAUUCUGUGUGAAGUUGAAAAGUGUAAUUCCUUACAGGAUACAGGGAAGAAUUCUGGAGGGCUUUAGUCCCAUGCAACUUUGAAAACUAAAGCAUGUUUUGACUUGUGUUGGCACAUAAUUCUUGUACCGAUUGAUGGGGCACAGAGUGACCUUCUAGUACGUAUAUAAAGUAAGUGUAUAAGGGUCAGAUUAGGCCUCAGACAUUUGUCACACCUGUGCUGGGAACUUUCAGACUGCUCUUUACUGGCUCUUCUGAAAUGGUCACUUUUAUUUGUGUGAUUUUUACAGUGUGUUGUCAUGUGCAGGAGAUGACUAACUUUAUCCUAAGGGUAGAUAAAAGGUUUGUGUGAUUUAUCGCAGGAUCUCUCAAAGAAAUUCUCCUUAAAUUUCUGAACCUCACUUCACCCAGGAAGAUGAAUUCUUGACAUCUUAUGCUGUGUAUCAUUUGAUACUAAAAUAGUCACUAUGGUCUGACAAGUACAGAACCAUUGAAGUUUUCCUGUGUUGUUUUUCCACCCCAAAUACAGCAUCUACUCCAUCUGAACAAUCAGUGUUAUUUUGCUUUCUGUUGCUAUGACAAGUGUCAGGACUAAAAGCAGCUUGAGGAGAGGAAAGGGUUUAUUUGGCUUACACAUCCUCACCACAGGCGAUUGUUAAGAGAAGUUAGGGCAAGAACUCAAAGAAGGAAUCUGGAGGCAGGGACCGAAGUAAUGGCCAUGGAGGAGCAUUACUCACUGGCUUGGUCUCUGUGGCUAACGCAGAUCCCUUUUUUAAAAAAGCUAAUCCAGGACCACAUGCCCAGGGAUGCUACCAUCCACAGUCGAUUGAGGCCCUCUCACAUCAACCCAUUAAUCAAGAAAAUGCCCCAUAGACUUGCUUUCAGGCCAACCUGAUGGAGGCAUUCCAUUAAUUGAGGUGCCCUCUUCCCAGAUAACUCCAGUUUGUGUCAAGUUGGAAGAAAAAAAAGAAAAACAAUCAGCAUGUCCACCUUUGCUUCUCAGAACAUUUCCUCCUUCAUCUGUUAGAACUCAGACACACAGCAUUGAGCAUGUCACCCAAUCUCAUGUCACAGGCCACUGCCCACUUCAGGAUGAGUCCUUGGAUGAAAGCCUGAACGCCAGGACAAGGAGAGGCCUCUUCUGGAGAUUCCAGGGCGAGUGCUGCUGUAUUCACCCCUCUCCAAAGAUGAGAAGGAGCUUCCAAAAGAAAAGUCAGGAGCUAGGGUCCAGAUCAUCACCUUAUGCAGGACCCAUCUUGGAGCCAGGGAGUCCAGGACACUGGGAGGACCCACAUCACUAGAUACCAUUAUUAUGAAGUGGGUGUCUGGGAAGCCUGCAACCAGCUCAGCUCCCUCCCUCUAACCUCACAGUCUGAUGGGGAGAGUCCAGCACUUAACACCCAGUACCAGGAAUGCUCAAACUCCAACUUACUUAGAAACAGACUGGGUCUUGAGGAAGCUUAAAACACUGGGUGCUGUGACUUCUGUUUUAGCAGCCAGUGCAGUGUGGGAAAAGUAGGGGGUCAAGCAGAGCUCUUGUAGUGAGACUGUGUGGGAAUUAGGUGUGGUUUAGUAGACAUCUGAAGAGAUGGCUUGGGAACAGGACUGUCAUGAUGGAGAGAAUGGGUUUUACCUGCAGAAGAGCCACCUUGCACUUCAUGGUCCCUGAGAUUGUGAGGUUGAACUCAUAAGAAGGUCUGCUUUACUUUUGUAUUCUGUGAUAUUCUAAAUUAAAUUAAAUGUUUAAAAAAUGGA